rnacentral:rRNA from 1 species
GGCGGGCGGGGCGGGGGCACGGGGGGCCUACGGGAGGCAGCAGUGGGGAAUUUUGGACAAUGGGCGAAAGCCUGAUCCAGCAAUGCCGCGUGAGUGAAGAAGGCCUUCGGGUUGUAAAGCUCUUUUGUCAGGGAAGAAACGGUUGACUCUAAUACAGUUGGCUAAUCACGGUACCUUAAGAAUAAGCUACCGGC